GUCUAGCCCUGAUAGCAGCGGCAUCCUUUUUUGGUUUUUUCUGCCAAAAAAGAUACAGCGAAUAGCAGGAAACAGC
rnacentral:sRNA from 1 species